rnacentral:rRNA from 1 species
AGAGUUUGAUCCUGGCUCAGGAUGAACGCUAGCUACAGGCUUAACACAUGCAAGUCGAGGGGAAACGACAUCGAAAGCUUGCUUUUGAUGGGCGUCGACCGGCGCACGGGUGAGUAACGCGUAUCCAACCUGCCCACCACUUGGGGAUAACCUUGCGAAAGUAAGACUAAUACCCAAUGAUAUCUCUAGAAGACAUCUGAAAAGAGAUUAAAGAUUUAUCGGUGAUGGAUGGGGAUGCGUCUGAUUAGCUUGUUGGCGGGGUAACGGCCACCAAGGCUACGAUCAGUAGGGGGUUCUGAGAGGAAGGUCCCCCACAUUGGAACUGAGACACGGUCCAAACUCCUACGGGAGGCCA